GACGAACGCUGGCGGCGUGCUUAACACAUGCAAGUCGAACGCUGAAGCUCAGCUUUUGUUGGGUGGAUGAGUGGCGAACGGGUGAGUGACACGUGAGUAACCUGCCCCCUUCUUUGGGAUAACGCCCGGAAACGGGUGCUAAUACUGGAUAUUCACUGGUCUUCGCAUGGGGGUUGGUGGAAAGGGUUUUUCUGGUGGGGGAUGGGCUCGCGGCCUAUCAGCUUGUUGGUGGGGUGAUGGCCUACCAAGGCUUUGACGGGUAGCCGGCCUGAGAGGGUGACCGGUCACAUUGGGACUGAGAUACGGCCCAGACUCCUACGGGAGGCGGCAGUGGGGAAUAUUGCACAAUGGGCGCAAGCCUGAUGCAGCGACGCCGCGUGAGGGAUGGAGGCCCUCGGGUUGUGAACCUCUUUCGCUCAUGGUCAAGCCGCAACAAUGGUUGUGGUGAGGGUAGUGGGUAAAGAAGCGCCGGCUAACUACGUG
rnacentral:rRNA from 1 species